UACGAAGGGUGCAAGCGUUACUCGGAAUUACUGGGCGUAAAGCGUGCGUAGGUGGUUCGUUAAGUCUGUCGUGAAAGCCCCGGGCUCAACCUGGGAAUGGCGAUGGAUACUGGCGGGCUAGAGUGCGGUAGAGGAGAGUGGAAUUCCCGGUGUAGCAGUGAAAUGCGUAGAGAUCGGGAAGAACAUCGGUGGCGAAGGCGGUCUGCUGGGCCGUUGCUGACGCUGAGGCGCGACAGCGUGGGGAGCAAACAGG
rnacentral:rRNA from 1 species